UUGCACAUCAUUUCAUUAAAGGGGGGAGGGCAGCGUCAAGCAGGAAAUGUGACAUAAAAACAUGAAGGAUAUCUUAUUUUCACUAUUUGAGAGUAUAUUUUAUUUUUAGUACUGAAGCAUAAUACAUAACUUUUUAUAAUCACUGUGUGCGUUGUGUAGCCCGGCUCUGAUGUGUAUCGUGGAAGGAUCAUGAGUAUACACACGCCACACGGUGGAGCAAGAUGGCUUGCCUGUACUUCCUUCUCUGUUUUUCAUCGGAGAUACAUUCUGCAAAUCCAUUCUAAACGUAAAAACGGACUUGUAACUUUUGUUCAAACCUGAAGAUUUGCAGUAAUGUGCAAAGAUGGGUUCACCCAACCUGUUUAUUAUAACUAAGCAGUAUCAUUUACUCCAUCUACCAUUCUGGGACAUUCCCUUUAAGCAAAGGGCAAUAGGACAUGUCUGUGUAAUGUAUCGUCCGUGAACACUAUAUACAUCGUGUGCCAUAUAGCUGUGGUAGCUAACUGCUAACAUGAAAGGAAAGGGUGGCAAGGAAUAUAGCUAGCUUCCCUGGAGAAGUGUGAAUAGUACCAGUUGUCCAGAGAGAUUUUCCACAUGGGUCUAUGACUGAAGAAGAUGGGCAGGCCUAAGAAAUCUUCAAUUAUCUGAUUUGUAUUUUUAAAAACAAUUCGGUUACUUUUAACUUUUAGAGGGUGAUUGAAAAGGUCCGAUGUCCUGGGAACUUCUUUACUGUAUGAGUUAAAAUAAAAGAAUUGUUUGCUUUAAACAUCUCAAAGCUAAUGACCCUGUCAUUAAAGAAAAUCAUCCAAAGUGUAUUAAAACAGAAAAACACCGAA
rnacentral:lncRNA from 1 species